rnacentral:rRNA from 1 species
UGAGGAAUAUUGGUCAAUGGACGAGAGUCUGAACCAGCCAAGUAGCGUGCAGGAUGACGGCCCUAUGGGUUGUAAACUGCUUUUGUUUGGGAAUAAUCGACAUUACGUGUAAUGUUUUGCAUGUACCAUUCGAAUAAGGACCGGCUAAUUCCGUGCCAGCAGCCGCGGUAAUACGGAAGGUCCAGGCGUUAUCCGGAUUUAUUGGGUUUAAAGGGAGUGUAGGCGGUUGGUUAAGCGUGUUGUGAAAUGUAGAUGCUCAACAUCUGACUUGCAGCGCGAACUGGCUGACUUGAGUACACACAAGGUAGGCGGAAUGCAUGGUGUAGCGGUGAAAUGCUUAGAUAUCAUGAAGAACUCCGAUUGCGAAGGCAGCUUACGGGAGUGUUACUGACGCUUAAGCUCGAAGGUGCGGGUAUCGAACAGG